UACGUAGGGCGCAAGCGUUAUCCGGAAUUAUUGGGCGUAAAGAGCUCGUAGGCGGUUUGUCGCGUCUGCCGUGAAAGUUCGGGGCUCAACUCCGGAUCUGCGGUGGGUACGGGCAGACUAGAGUGAUGUAGGGGAGACUGGAAUUCCUGGUGUAGCGGUGAAAUGCGCAGAUAUCAGGAGGAACACCGGUGGCGAAGGCGGAUCUCUGGGCCUGUUCUGACGCUGAGGCGCGAAAGCUAGGGGAGCGAACAGG
rnacentral:rRNA from 1 species